rnacentral:rRNA from 1 species
CCUUGAAAGAGUGCGUAACAGCUCACUGGUCUAGUGGUUCCGCGCCGACAAUGUAGCGGGGCUCAAGCACACCACCGAAGACGCGGCAGUAUUUUGUACUGGGUAGGAGAGCGUCCCAUGAGGGGCGAAGCGGCCGUGUGAACGCGCCGUGGACUUCAUGGGAGUGAGAAUGCAGACAUGAGUAGCGAGAGACGGGUGAAGAUCCCGUCCGCUGGAUGACCAAGGGUUCCAGGGCCACGUUCAUCGUCCCUGGGUGAGUCGGGUCCUAAGGCGAGGCCGACAGGCGUAGUCGAAUGGAUGAACGGGUCGAUAUUCCCGUACCGGCUUUCAGCCGCCAAAACCGAGGCUUGGAGUACUAACCUCCGGGUCCGGGCUUACUGCUCCUUCGGGGGCGGGAUGCCCUGGCCUGUUGGGACCGAUCCUUGUAGUAGGUCAGCGCAGGAGUGACGCAGAAGGGUAGCCGGCCGCGGAGGUGGUCUUCCGUGGUCAAGCACGCAGGGCGUGGGACAGGCAAAUCCGUCCCGCAUGGGUCCGAGGUGCGAUGAUGGGGGCCUUAUGGCCCGAUAUCCGGUGAUCCCGGCUGCCGAGAAAAGCUUCGGCGUCAGGCUCAAAGCCGCCCGUACCCCAAACCGACACUGGUGGUCAGGUAGAGAAUACCAAAGCGAUCGAGCGAAUCCUGGUCAAGGAACUCGGCAAAUCACUCCCGUUCCUUCGGUUUAAGGGAGACCCCCGAUGGUGAACACACUUGCUGUGGGAGCUUUUGGGGGUGGCACAGACCAGGGGGUAGCGACUGUUUACCAAAAACACAGGUGCAUGCGAAGGCGCAAGCCGCUGUAUAUGCACUGACGCCUGCCCGGUGCCGGAAGGUUAAGAGGAUCCGUCAGCCUUCGGGUGAAGCGGUGAAUUCAAGCCCCGGUAAACGGCGGUGGUAACUAUAACCAUCCUAAGGUAGCGAAAUUCCUUGUCGGGUAAGUUCCGACCUGCACGAAUGGCGUAACGACUUCCCCACUGUCUCGACCAGGAGCUCGGCGAAAUUGCAGUACGAGUAAAGAUGCUCGUUAAGCGCAGAAGGACGAAAAGACCCCGGGACCUUUACUAUACCUUGGUAUUGGCAUUCGGUGUGGAUUGUGUAGCAUAGGCGGGAGGCCGAGAGGCGCGGUCGCCAGAUCGCGCGGAGCCGUAAGGUGAAAUACCGCUCUGUUCGCAUUGGAUGUCUAACCUCGAACAGUCAUCCUGUUCAGGGACAGUGCCUGGCGGGUAGUUUAACUGGGGCGGUUGCCUCCCAAAGAGUAACGGAGGCGCCCAAAGGUCCGCUCAGCCCGGUUGGCAAUCGGGUGGCGAGUGCAAGUGCACAAGCGGGCUUGACUGCGAGGACGACGGUCCGAGCAGGGACGAAAGUCGGGACUAGUGAUCCGGUGCCGGUGUACGGACGCGGCAUCGCUCAACGGAUAAAAGGUACCCCGGGGAUAACAGGCUGAUCAUUCCCAAGAGUCCAUAUCGACGGGAUGGUUUGGCACCUCGAUGUCGGCUCGUCGCAUCCUGGGGCUGGAGCAGGUCCCAAGGGUUCGGCUGUUCGCCGAUUAAAGCGGCACGCGAGCUGGGUUCAGAACGUCGUGAGACAGUUUGGUCUCUAUCCUCUGCGCUCGUUGGAAUGCUGAGGAGGCCUGCCCAUAGUACGAGAGGACCUGGGUGGACGAACCUCUGGUAUGCCGGUUGUCACGCCAGUGGCACGGCCGGUUGGCUACGUUCGGAAGGGAUAACCGCUGAAAGCAUCUAAGCGGGAAGCCUGCUCCAAGAUAAGCAUUCCGUGGAACCUUCGAGUUCCUGUAGUCCCCAUGCAGAACACGUGGUCGAUAGGCCGGACGUGGAAGCCCCGCGAGGGGUGGAGCCGACCGGUACUAACGGACGAAAGGCAACACUAA